rnacentral:rRNA from 1 species
UACGAAGGGGGCUAGCGUUGCUCGGAAUCACUGGGCGUAAAGCGCACGUAUGCGGAUUGUUAAGUCAGGGGUGAAAUCCUGGAGCUCAACUCCAGAACUGCCUUUGAUACUGGCGAUCUUGAGUCCGGGAGAGGUGAGUGGAACUGCGAGUGUAGAGGUGAAAUUCGUAGAUAUUCGCAAGAACACCAGUGGCGAAGGCGGCUCACUGGCCCGGUACUGACGCUGAGGUGCGAAAGCGUGGGGAGCAAACAGG